CCAAGGAGUCUAACAUGUACGCGAGUCAAUGGGAUAGCGUUGUCUAAACCCACGGGCGCAAUGAAAGUGAAGUUCGGCCCUAGUUAGCCGACCGAGGCGGGAUGCGUCGGGAGUUUCGGGUUUCGGCCCGUCACCCCGCGUCGCACCGCCGGCCCGUCUCGACCGCAUCGCCGGUGAGGCGGAGCAAAAGCGUACACGUUGGGACCCGAAAGAUGGUGAACUAUGCUUGGGCAGGACGAAGCCAGAGGAAACUCUGGUGGAGGUCCGUAGCGAUUCUGACGUGCAAAUCGAUCGUCGGACCUGAGUAUAGGGGCGAAAGACUAAUCGAACCGUCUA
rnacentral:rRNA from 1 species